rnacentral:rRNA from 1 species
AGUGAACGCUGGCGGUAGGCCUAACACAUGCAAGUCGAACGGCAGCACAGUAAGAGCUUGCUCUUACGGGUGGCGAGUGGCGGACGGGUGAGGAAUACAUCGGAAUCUACUUUUUCGUGGGGGAUAACGUAGGGAAACUUACGCUUAUACCGCAUACGACCUACGGGUGAAAGCAGGGGAUCUUCGGACCUUGCGCGAUUGAAUGAGCCGAUGUCGGAUUAGCUAGUUGGCGGGGUAAAGGCCCACCAAGGCGACGAUCCGUAGCUGGUCUGAGAGGAUGAUCAGCCACACUGGAACUGAGACACGGUCCAGACUCCUACGGGAGGCAGCAGUGGGGAAUAUUGGACAAUGGGCGCAAGCCUGAUCCAGCCAUACCGCGUGGGUGAAGAAGGCCUUCGGGUUGUAAAGCCCUUUUGUUGGGAAAGAAAAGCAGCAGGUUAAUACCCCGCUGUUCUGACGGUACCCAAAGAAUAAGCACCGGCUAACUUCGUG